GGGGAAUCAUAUUCUCUUUACCCCUCCCUAGACAUGAAGAGAUUCUCCGCUUCUCCCAGACCCUCUGCUUCUCACAAUCCCUGGCUGUGGGGAACUUCUCUUAAGGCACAGAUUGGAUCCCUCUUGCUGCAGUCUCUGACUUGGUUUCUCCUAUCCUGUCCUCUGUGGCUAGAGAAAGCCCUCUUCUGGGUGAUCACAGCGGUUCCUUAGGAUCUCCCCUUCAACAUUCCUUCAUCGUUAGUUGGUUCUUCCCAGAAGAAUUCUGGGGAGACAUUGCCAAGGAAUUUUACUGGAAGACUCCAUGCCCUGGCCCAUUCCUUCGGUACAACUUUGAUGUGACUAAAGGGAAAAUCUUCAUUGAGUGGAUGAAAGGAGCAACUACCAACAUCUGCUACAAUGUACUGGAUCGAAAUGUCCAUGAGAAAAAGCUUGGAGAUAAAUUUGCUUUUUACUGG
rnacentral:sRNA from 1 species